UUUCCGUAGGUGAACCUGCGGAAGGAUCUUUCAUAAUAAAGUGUUUUAUGGCACUUUUUAAAAAUCCAUAUCCACCUUGUGUGCAAUGUUAGAUCUCGUCAAUCUUGGCGAGAUUUUUAUACAUCAACUCAUUCUUUAACUAAUUUGUCUGAAAAAUAUUAUGAAUACUUAAUUCAAAAUACAACUUUCAACAACGGAUCUCUUGGCUCUC
rnacentral:misc_RNA from 1 species